rnacentral:rRNA from 1 species
CUAGCGACUUCAGAGUUUGAUCCUGGCUCAGGAUGAACGCUGGCGGCGUGCUUAACACAUGCAAGUCGAACGGACUUAAGAUUUGAGCUUGCUCUUAUCUUAAGUUAGUGGCGGACGGGUGAGUAACGCGUGGGUAACCUGCCUCACACUGGGGGAUAACAGUUAGAAAUAGCUGCUAAUACCGCAUAAGCGCACGGUGUCGCAUGACACAGUGUGAAAAACUCCGGUGGUGUGAGAUGGACCCGCGUCUGAUUAGCUAGUUGGUGAGGUAACGGCCCACCAAGGCGACGAUCAGUAGCCGGCCUGAGAGGGUGAACGGCCACAUUGGGACUGAGACACGGCCCAA